GCUUGCUGUGGUUGGUUUCCUGAUGUGAACUUGGCUGUUCUUCUCAGAGGAGAAGCUCAAGGGCAUCGCUGUCGCUGGGAAUGGCUGCUGUUCUCGUCAGGGAGCUCUGAUCUUCACUGUGAGCAGCACUUCCUGCCUCCAUUAUGGAUCCCUCCACCUGGUGGCACAGAUUCUUCACCCCAAUGGUGCAGGUUUUCUGGCUUCCACCACUGGGCUUUGGGCCUUCCGGGUGCAGAUUCCCAAUAUGGACAAGCAUGAGACAUUGCCAUGGGCUCUAGGCCUCUGGCUGAACUCGUGGAGGACAUUGCCUUGCACUCUAGGCCUUCAGCUGGUCUUGUGAGGGACAUUGCUGGGGGAUCCAGGCCCUCAGCUGGAUUCUUCGGAUCUCUAGUGUACUUCCCGAUUCUGAGCCUUGUGGCUGUCAGUGCCUGCACUGUCCACAUAGAGGGGGCCAGGAGGCUCCUCACCUGUAUGAGAACUGCUGUCGCUGGCCAGGUGCUAAGUGGCACCACCCUACACCCUGGAGGCGCAGGGGAGCUGCUCCAGGUAAAUUCAGACCUGAUGCUGGGCUGUCCUUGAAGGCUGACUUCUGACCUCAUCUCCUCCAGAAAGCGAGCUGUGAUGCUAUCUCCCGUCUCAGAAUUCCUGAGGCCCAAGAUCUGUGCCAGAAACCUGCCACAUGGGCAUGUCCACUGGUUGAGUGCAGUUGUCGGUAGAGCUGUCCGCAGUACUCUGGCCCUCUCUCUUGGACAGUUGGAAAGGUUACUUCUCACCCACUGGAGCUUAGCUGGGGCCAUGUGACUUCCCUUGCGUGGAAAUGAGAAGUGUCUCUUCCAGGUAGAUACCUUCAAAGUCAGUACAGAUCCUCCUUGACUCAGGAAGAGGUUAUAUCCCAUGAGACCCAUGGUACCCUGAAAAUAUCAUAAGUCAAAAACCUACCCAACACACAGCCAACCGAACACUAUGCUGCAGAGUGUCACUGUUCCCUCAUGAUCACACCAUGAGCUGAAAGCUGCCGUCACUGGAAGAGGAUCGUACUGUGUAUCACUGCCCAGCAGAAGAGACAGAUCCCACAUUCCAGGUAUAGUUUCUCCUCAAUG
rnacentral:lncRNA from 1 species